GUUUUCGUGGUGUAGUUGGUUAUCACGUCUGUCUAACACACAGACUGUCCCCGGUUCGAACCCGGGCGAAAACA
rnacentral:tRNA from 1 species